rnacentral:rRNA from 1 species
GAUGGGCGCAGCUGAUGCAGCGACGCCGCGUGAGGGAUGACGGCCUUCGGGUUGUAAACCUCUUUCAGUAGGGAAGAAGCGAAAGUGACGGUACCUGCAGAAGAAGCACCGGCUAACUACGUGCCAGCAGCCGCGGUAAUACGUAGGGUGCGAGCGUUAUCCGGAAUUAUUGGGCGUAAAGAGCUCGUAGGCGGUUUGUCGCGUCUGUCGUGAAAGUCCGGGGCUUAACCCCGGAUCUGCGGUGGGUACGGGCAGACUAGAGUGCAGUAGGGGAGACUGGAAUUCCUGGUGUAGCGGUGGAAUGCGCAGAUAUCAGGAGGAACACCGAUGGCGAAGGCAGGUCUCUGGGCUGUAACUGACGCUGAGGAGCGAAAGCAUGGGGAGCGAACAGGAUUAGAUACCCCGGUAGUCA